AUCAAGCUUACAUGGUAUAACAGAAGAUACGCCACUCUGCUGUCGGUGGUUUAUUUGUUCGCUUUUUAAUCCGAGUCUGGUUUCUGUAGCCAGAGACUGCGCGGCUCCACCCACAGUAACUCAGAUUUCAAGUGCUCAUUCUCAGCGCAGUGGAUGAAUGAAGGCAGGGUCUGAGGCUGAACAGCAGGUCUGACUGACUGAAGAGGCGAUGAUGAUGUCACUGUAACAUAAGGUUAUAAUAACCGAACGGCAGCUGUUGAUUCCUAAACUAUGAAAACCAGGAUGAUCAUAGGAAUGGCACGUUGUCUAAAGCGGCACACAGCUUGUCUGGCUUGUCCACGCUGCUCAACAAUGCCUGUCAAGUUUGUGUUAACAGCAGUUGCACAUUAGUACUGUGCCUAUAAACUAUACAUAGGCUAUAAUUUGCUUUAAUAAAGAAGGGGCACAAGCAACCCUUUGCUUUGUCUUGUAACUUAAAAAAAAAAGGUGAAGGAGCUUUAAUGAGAGAAGGCUGGGAUAGGAACAGCGAAUAGAAGAGCAGCCAUAGGUCUAGACUGAGAGCAGUGAAAGAGGAGACACAUUUUCAAAGUGGUUACUGCAGUCUGUAAUCAAGUAUCCCUUUAGAGGAUCUUGUAUUGUAUGAAUUUGCAAAGCUGCAGCUGCCCCCACAACUGCUAAUAACUCCUAAACCAUUUCAGCUAGCAACUUUAUGUGUUCUGGAAACUCCUUGCGCAAAAUCUAACAGCAUGCUUCAUUUUUACUUGUGGACUAGGGUGGCUGCAAUACUGGGAUCAUGUGACUUUCUGCUUUCCGGAUGAUCAGACCUAAAGGUUCCAGGGUGGUGCACAACACUGCUUGGGAUUGGCUUUGACAUAAAGCCACGCAAACUACAACCACAGAGCAAGAGAUGGAAUUGAGUGGAUUCUUGAUGAAUGCAGUACUGUAUAUAUCCACAGGUUGUGAUGAAACUUGAAACUUUGGGAAACCUUGGUGGAUUACCGCAGUGAGGAAAACCCAGGACAAGUCGUUAUUCCGAGGAAGGGAGCCAAGAGGCGGUGAGAGGAAACCCACUGCAGUAGCACGGAGAAACACAGUGUUUCCUUUGAUGUUGUUUCCUGUAACCGCAAUGUUUUUGUUUACUCUUUUUAUUUGAAACCUGAGUUUACCAUUGCUGGUGUUCCAGGUGGUUUUCUUGUUUAUUUUCUGCAAUACUGAACUGUUUAUUUUCAUUGUGUGUUAAAAUAAA